CAUGUAGCUUUAGUGUAAAAAUAAUAAAUAAAACACAUUUUCAUGCAUUUUGUUGUAUUCCUUCUGAAGGCUGUAGUUGUUUAACUAAAUAUUUCCUCCCUGGUUGUCCAGAGGAGGGCAGCAGGAGGAGCUGCUUGUUGAUGCUGAGGAAGCUGCUCCUCGCUUCUGCAUCUGAGAGGAGGAAGAGGAGGAGGAGGAAGAGGCUCCAACUUCCUGUAUGUCUCAGCUGAGUUCAGCCUCUCUCUCCGGGAGGCUUGUGGCUCUGCAGACCGGGGAGGAGGAGGCUUCUGUGGGGGGUGUCUGAAGGGGGAGCUCCGUGCACCAGCAGCCCGUAAAUGUGGAUUAUUUUUGGGUUAAAUCGUUCCUGCUUCACCCGCCUCGGCGCAGCAGCUUCCCCGCGGAUAGAGUGAGAAGAGCCGGGUUGCUGGCCCUGGUUCUCGGCCUUCAGCACCAUCACCCUCCGCCUGCUUGAGUGUGAUAGAGAAGCCGCUAAAAGGCUGUAGGAGCACCGGUAGUCUGCUGCACCGACCCUCGCUGCAGAGAGACCCGGGGGGAGGACCGGAGACCCGGGGAGAGCAGAGGAGAGGAGCCGUGCAUGGUGCUCCGAGCACCGGGGAGAGGAGGACCCAGAGAUGGCUGUCCUCAAACUGGCCGAGCAGGUUCGGUGUUCCGUUAAAAUGAGGACAGCCCACUUCACUUCCUGCUCGGUCUACUUCCGCAAAGCAUCACAGCUGCACACCACAAAUACCCUCACUUAUGAAGAUGCAGAUUUAUCUUUCAAAGUGCAAACAUUCAUGCAGCAGACCUCCAAACGCAUGCAUUUCUGAUAAGAUGUCAUGCCAAGGAGACAUAUUUGAGAACCUCAAGGUCUAUUUAUCUGCUCUGUAGCUUUGGCUUGUGUCACAUGAUACUUCUCAGUAGUUUCAAUCUCCCUUUUGCACUGGAAAGACCGCACAGUGUGCACAAAAAGAAACAUUUCAAUCUGUUGAAAAAGAUGGUGUGACACUGUGAAGCUCCAAAGCAGCUACUAAAGGAAUAUUAUUGCACAUUUUGUUCAAGCCAUUUCAAAAGUGGAAUGUAAAACUGCAUAUCUAGCAGAUCCUGAUUAGAUAGUAUAUUAUUUAUUUAUAGAAUCAAUGAUUGCUUUGUUUCUAACGUGUGAGAAAAUAGUGAAAACUAGGAUUAGACUAAUUAUAACUAGUAAAAUACUACUCUAUUAGACAAAGUCCUGUAUUUCAGGUCUGCAACUAACAAUUAUUUUGAAGGUGAUGUCUAUAAAUGUCCUGUUUUGUUCUUCAGAACAGAUAUAUAUUACUUUAAUGUGAUUCUAAACACAGAAAAGCAGGAAAUCUCUGUAUUUGAGAGGCGAAAUAAUAGUAUUUUCUGGCUUUUUUGCUUGAAAAACAACUAAAUCAUUGUUAUUAUCUGUAAAAAAAUCAACUUAUCGAUUAGUCCACUUAUCAAUGCAGCUAUCCUGUAUUUAGAGAAGCAAAAUGUACUUACUCCAUGAUAAGUAAAAGUAAUCAUAGCAAUUAUUUAUCUUGCAUUUGUCCCUUUCAGUGUUUUUCUGUAUAAUAAAUUUGAUGUUUUGGGUGCACCAUAUUC